rnacentral:misc_RNA from 1 species
GAAAUGCGAUAAGUAAUGUGAAUUGCAGAAUUCAGUGAAUCAUCGAAUCUUUGAACGCACAUUGCGCCCGCCAGUAUUCUGGCGGGCAUGCCUGUUCGAGCGUCAUUUCAACCAUCAAGCCCCGGCGCUUGUGUUGGGGACCCGCGGCUGCCGCGGGCCCUUAAAGACAGUGGCGGUCCUCGCUGCAGCACCGAGCGUAGUAGCUAUACACCUCGCCCUGGGAGCUGCGCGUGUCGACCACGCCGUAAAACCCCCCACCUCUCACAAGGUUGACCUCGGAUCAGGUAGGAAUACCCGCUGAACUUAA